UGAGGGAUAUUGGGCAAUGGACGCAAGUCUGACCCAGCGACGCCGCGUGGAGGAGAAGGGCUUCGGCUCGUAAACUCCUUUUCCCGAGGACGAGAACAGGACGGUACUCGGGGAAUAAGUCUCGGCUAACUACGUGCCAGCAGCCGCGGUAAUACGUAGGAGGCAAGCGUUAUCCGGAAUUACUGGGCGUAAAGGGCGUCUAGGUGGCAGCCCAAGCGGGGUGUGAAAGCUCCUGGCUUAACUGGGAGAGUGCGCUCCGAACUGGGCAGCUAGAGGGCAGGCGACGGAGGUGGAAUACCCGGUGGAGUGGUGAAAUGCGUAGAGAUCGGGUGGAACACCAGUGGCGAAGGCGGCCUUCGAGCCUGUGCCUGACACUGAAGCGCGAGAGCGUGGGGAGCAAACGGG
rnacentral:rRNA from 1 species